rnacentral:rRNA from 1 species
UACGGAGGGGACUAGCGUUGUUCGGAAUUACUGGGCGUAAAGCGCACGUAGGCGGAUUUGUAAGUCAGGGGUGAAAUCCCGGGGCUCAACCCCGGAACUGCCUUUGAUACUGCGAAUCUCGAGUCCGGAAGAGGUGAGUGGAAUUCCUAGUGUAGAGGUGAAAUUCGUAGAUAUUAGGAAGAACACCAGUGGCGAAGGCGGCUCACUGGUCCGGUACUGACGCUGAGGUGCGAAAGCGUGGGGAGCGAACAGG